CCAAAUUGAUCCCGGAUGCUUUGCUCAAGAAGCCAUUCGCAUGCCUGAAUCGCCGAGGGAUUGAUCGGCCAAUAAUGAGAGAUGUUAUCCAGAAUUUGGAGCUGACUAUGGAAGGUCUGAGCAGCUAGUGAUGGUGGCAGCUUCUUCACGUUGUGAUGGUAUCUAUUGUUGGAUGUAUUCACUUCGCAUAUGUUUCGACCGUUUGAGCCUGAUCUGGUAGGAGUAUGACUAGUUACAUUUGAAAUUAUGCAUGU
rnacentral:lncRNA from 1 species